rnacentral:rRNA from 1 species
CCGGAUUUAUUGGGUUUAAAGGGUGCGUAGGCGGAAUGUAAGUCAGCGGUGAAAUUUUGCAGCUUAACUGUAAAGGUGCCGUUGAUACUGUGAGGCUAGGAUUUGGUUGCUGUGGGUGGAAUGUGUGGUGUAGCGGUGAAAUGCUUAGAGAUCACACAGAAUAUCGAUUGCGAAGGCAGCUCACAAAGCCAAGAUUGACGCUGAGGCACGAAAGUGUGGGGAUCAAACAGGAUUAGAUACCCUGGUAGUCCACACUGUAAACGAUGAUAACUCGCUGUCGGCGAUAUACAGUCGGUGGCCAAGCGAAAGCGAUAAGUUAUCCACCUGGGGAGUACGACCGCAAGGUUGAAACUCAAAGGAAUUGACGGGGGCCCGCACAAGCGGAGGAACAUGUGGUUUAAUUCGAUGAUACGCGAGGAACCUUACCUGGGCUUGAAAGGGGAUCGACCUCCCGGGAAACCGGGAUUCUCUUCGGAGCGGUCUCCUAGGUGCUGCAUGGUUGUCGUCAGCUCGUGCCGUGAGGUGUCGGGUUAAGUCCCAUAACGAGCGCAACCCUCAUUGUUAGUUACCAUCAAGUAAAGUUGGGGACUCUAACGAGACUGCCGGCGUAAGCCGUGAGGAAGGUGGGGAUGACGUCAAAUCAGCACGGCCUUUAUGUCCAGGGCUACACACGUGUCACAAUGGCCAAUACAGAGGGCAGCAAUACCGUAAGGUGGAGCAAAUCCUAAAAGUUGGUCUUAGUUCGGAUCGGAGUCUGCAACUCGACUCCGUGAAGCUGGAUUCGCUAGUAAUCGCAGAUCAGC